rnacentral:rRNA from 1 species
UACGUAGGGUGCGAGCGUUGUCCGGAAUUAUUGGGCGUAAAGAGCUCGUAGGCGGUCUGUCGCGUCGAUCGUGAAAACUUGGGGCUUAACCCUGAGCUUGCGGUCGAUACGGGCAUGACUGGAGUUCGGCAGGGGAGACUGGAAUUCCUGGUGUAGCGGUGAAAUGCGCAGAUAUCAGGAGGAACACCAAUGGCGAAGGCAGCUCGCUGGGACGGUACUGACGCUGAGACGCGAAAGCGUGGGGAGCAAACAGG